GACGAACGCUGGCGGCGUGCCUAAUACAUGCAAGUAGGACGCAGUUGCGAACGGGUUAGUAACGCGUAGGUAACUACCUAUUAGAGGGGGAUAACUAUUGGAAACGAUAGCUAAUACCGCAUACUAGUAGAUGGACCUGCGUUGUAUUAGCUAGUAGGUAGGGUAAUGUGCUACCUAGGCAACGAUACAUAGCCGACCUGUGAGGGUGAUCGGCCACACUGGGACUUGGACAAGGGCCAGACUCCUACGGGAGGUAGCAGUAGGGAAUCUUCGGCAAUGGGGGGAACCCUGACCGAGCCACGCCGCGUGAGUGAAGAAGGUUUUAGGAGCGUAAAGCUCUGUUGUUAAGGAAGCGGUACUUAACCAGAAAGGGACGGCUAACUACGUGCCAGCAGCCGCGGUAAUAC
rnacentral:rRNA from 1 species